rnacentral:rRNA from 1 species
UACGUAGGGUGCGAGCGUUGUCCGGAAUUACUGGGCGUAAAGAGCUCGUAGGUGGUUCAGUCAGUCUGUAGGGACAGGGCACAGCUCAACUGUGUCAGGCUUACGGAAACUGCUGAACUUGAGGGCUUCAGAGGGAUGGGGAAUUCCAGGUGUAGCGGUGAAGUGCGUAGAUAUCUGGAGGAACACCGGUGGCGAAGGCGGCAUCCUGGACCAUUACUGACGCUGAGUGAGCGAAAGCCAGGGGAGCAAACGGG